ACACAAAGACUGACUUGCAGCAUAAAAGCGACGCCGAAGCGCCGAAGCACAUGUUGCUUCCACAGGUUUGCAAGGUUGAAGGCCCAGAGGCCAUUCGUUAAUGAUCCCUCCGCAGGUUCACCUACGGAGACCUUGUUACGACUUUUACUUCCUCUAAAUGACCAAGA
rnacentral:misc_RNA from 1 species